rnacentral:rRNA from 1 species
CUACGGAGGGUGCAAGCGUUAUUCGGAAUCACUGGGCGUAAAGGACGCGUAGGCGGGUUGGCAAGUCAGAUGUGAAAUCCUACAGCUUAACUGUAGAACUGCAUUUGAAACUGCUAACCUAGAGUAUGGGAGGGGGAGAUGGAAUUAGUGGUGUAGGGGUAAAAUCCGUAGAUAUCACUAGGAAUACCGAAAGCGAAGGCGAUCUCCUGGAACAGUACUGACGCUGAGGCGCGAAAGCGUGGGGAGCAAACAGGAUUAGAUACCCCAGUAGUCC